AAUAAGUGCAGUUUUAGCACUAUUCAUGUUCAACGUUUGACCGUUCGUCUUAUUUGAAAAAAGAGGUAUUUUUAUUGUUAUUAGAUAAUAAAACAUGAAUAGUAAUUUAUGUGUGACUAAUUUUUUUAAUAUUUUUCAUAAAUUUUUUAAAUAAGACGGAUGGUCAAAGCGCUAAACACGGAUAUUUAUGGCUGCAUUUAUU
rnacentral:pre_miRNA from 1 species